UGAAACUCAUGAAACCUUUCAAGAACAUGUGCAGGUCAUAUUACACCAAAUAUAAGAAAGUAUAUUUUACUUAAGGAAAAUGAUGACUACUUUGUGUGACCAUUUAUAUAUAUAUAUAUAUAUAUAUUUGUUUUUUUAUUUAAAAAUGAUAUAUUUUAUACAUGAACAAUCAUUAGGCCUAUAUUGACAAGUCAUCAUACUGUAUAUACUUUAAAUAUAAAAAAAAAAUCAUUACAUAUAUUACAAUAUUUUACUCUACUGUUAAAAUUAUAAAAAUUACUGUGUAGUAAUGAUAAUCACAAUGUUGAGAAUAAAAACAACUACAAAAAAACAACAACUACUUAAAGAUACUAAUAAAAUGCAUAACAAAUAUUCAUAAUUAUCAUGGCAGUAUGUUACAAUUAAAAAAUAUAUUAAUGGUCCUAAAUGCAGGCUUCCAUUUUCAUGUAAAAUAUGAUUACUGGUUUUAUUUGUUUUGAUUUUGGGGUGAAAUGUGAUUUGGACAUGUUUCUAGAGAUUAAACAAUCUGUACACAUAAACAUUUGACAGUGACUCAUUGUAGUUGAUGUUGCUUCUUUCUGAUCCUUUCCUUUUGUGAAACCACAGCAAAGUGUAAGAAAAAAAGCGUUACAGGUGUUAUAAUAAUCAGUAAGCAAAAAGCGGAGAUUUCAUUUGGUUGGUGGGAAAUGGCUUGUUUGCUCUCGUAAUCAUGCACUCUGUGACAGGAAAUCCUUAGAUCAACAGGCAUCUUGCUAGGGUAUACAAUGGAAGUGUUGAAACCAGCAGCCGACCUAAAAAAUGCUGCUUUCACCAAUGCAUUGUAUUCUAGCAAUGAAUGAAUUCUAAUAGGAUCUUAUUGCAAGGUUUCAUGUGUUGCACUAAAAAUACUAGUUGUGCUGCAACUGUGAGGUGCAUCCAGAAGAUAUAAUAAACAGCAACCACAGGACCGCACACCGAAACUACAGCUUAACUAAAACAUGCCACUGAUGAAUGUGUCUGACAACCACAUGAAAUUGAUGAAUUAGCACUCUAUAUGCUUUUCCUGUAAAGUAAGCCCAAGUGCACAAGGCAUUCUUAUUUCCUUUGGUGUACUUAUAUAUUUGUGACAGUAAGCAUUGUUAAUUUCAUUUUUUGUUUAAAGUGUCUUGGCAAAAUUCAAAACAUGAGCACAAGAAUAACUCAGCUACAUGACUGAGGGUAAAAUGUCAGCUUCUGAAGUGAGAUAUGAAGUCGGUAACGGGAAAUGUGGGUGCAUGAGUAAAGAUAAAAUCACUACCAUCUAUGUUGGCAUUUUUGGAAAGUGUUUGACAAUAAUAGAGACAAUAUUUCUGUUUUGCAGAGAUGCGUCAGGUCAUUUUAAGCAACCCUGCCGAGAAAUAAGGGUCACCUUGCUCUACUAACCAGUACAAUGCUUUUAGGUAAUACUAAAACAUGAUUAUGAAAAAUGUAUAAAAUUAAAAGUUAGAUAUUGUGGCAAGGAGGAGGGCGGGGUCGGGCCGUGUUGACUCACACCCGGUCCCUAAUCAGGCUAAUCAAGCCGAUGAGAGGGAUAAAGGCCGCCGGAGGCGGAGGUUCAGGAGAGAGAGACAGCUACGGGCAGCUGCCCUGUAUGUGUUUAUGUUUGUGUCUUUUUGUUUAAGUUUAUUAUUAAACUAUUAUUUAGAUGGUCGUGCCAGUUCUCACCUCCUCCUUUCCCUUUUACCCCGUUACAUUGUUGCCGAAACCAGGGAAGGAGGAGGGAUGCGCUGUAGAAGAGUCCUCACCACUACCAUCCACCCCAAAGGAGCAGCCGCGGCCAUCCACUGGGGGAUGGAGGAGCCCGGCCGCCUGAAAGUGGAGGAAUGACCGCUGACCGCGAGGGGAGGAGGGGCUCCUUACCGACCUCCUGGAGCAGAAGAACAGCUGCCAGGGGCGGAAGAGACCCCUACCAUCCACCAAAACGCGGCGGGGCUUUCCGUCCACCAGGGGCUGGAGUACUGCCUCCGAUCCACAAGUGGAGGAGUGGCUGUCAUCCACUAGAGCAUGGAGGAGUGACCGAGGACAAGGCUACAAUAUAUCAGAGAACCGGCGAAACAACCUGCUAGACAGCAACCAGUCUGGCUUCAAAAGUGGACACUCUACAGAGAAUGCACUGCUGUCAGUUACUGAAGCUCUUAGACUGGCGAGAGCAGCAUCCAACUCAUUCGUACUCAUCCUACUGGAUCUGUCCGCUGCUUUCGAAACAGUAAACCACCAGAUUCUGGCAUAACAGGAACUGCGCCCCACUGGUUCAAAUCUUACCUCACAGCCUGAUGAUCCAACGGUAGUGGCCCGGGUCUCAGCCUGCGCAGCAGAAAUUUCGUGUUGGAUGAAAGAUCACCACCUCCAACUCAUCUUUGCUAAAACAGAGCUGCUUGUGCUUCCAGCAAGCCCAGCAAUUCAUCACAACUUCACCAUUCAGCUAGACUCGUCAACGGAUUUGCAGAUUUGUACAACAUUAGGAAGAUCAGGCCCUUCCUAUCGGAGCAUGCUACACAACUCCUCGUCCAAGCUCUUGUUCUAUCCAGGCUGGAUUAUUGCAGUGUUCUUCUGGCAGGCCUUCCAGCAUGUACUGUCAAACCUCUGCAAUUGAUCCAGAAUGCGGCAGCGAGAGUGGUCUUCAACGAGCCCAAGAGAGCACACUUCACGCCUCUCUUCAUCAAAUUGCACAGGCUGCCAAUGGUUGCUACUGUUAAGUUCAAGUCACUGAUGCUUGCUUACAGAACAUCCACUUGCUCUGCACCCCACUAUCUAAACUCACUACUUCAGACUUAUGUUCCCUUCAGAAACCUGCGUUCUGCAGGUGAAUGGCGCCUCAUAGUGCCAUCUCAUAGAGGCACAAAAUCACUGUCCCAGACCUUCACCUUGACUGUUCCCCGCUAGUGGAAUGACCUGCCUAAUUCCACCUGAACGGCUGUGUCUUUAGCCUCUUUCAAAAAACAGCUAAAGACACAUCUCUUUCUUGAACACCUAACCCACUCAUACUAACACACUACCUUCACGUUCUUUAAAAAAAAAAUUCCUUGCUAUGUGUACUGCUCUAAACUAUGUGAGAUGUGUUUUACAGCACUUAUUAUAUUGUUGCCCCUUUUGUUGGAUGAAUCGCUUCUAUUGUUCUCCUCAUUUGUAAGUCGCUUUGGAUAAAAGCGUCUGCUAAAUGAAUAAAUGGAAAUGAAAAUGAAAGAAAGUCAUACACAUCUGAGAUGGCAUGAGUGUGAACAAAUGAUGAAAGGAUUUUCAAUUUUGAGUGAACUAUUCCUUUUAGGAGUUACCAUGGUGGUCAGUGCUAUUUUUUUCUUACAUUUGAUUAGUGACCUUGAAAUAUCUUAAAAAAUCUUAAAUAUUUCAUCCUCAUUUUAAGUCAUAACUUUUUUUGUAUUACAUUUUCCAUAUACCAAACACUUUGUUUUCUUUCCUGAAUUAGAUUUGGAAUCUGGGAUUUUCAAAUUGGUCUCAGAUUU